rnacentral:misc_RNA from 1 species
CCUGGCUCAUGAGAUGAUGCAUGCAUGGAUGCGACUUAAAGGUGCAUUUUCUUCUUCUGUGAUUUAUAAAAUCAGUUUAUUUGUCUUUCUUAAAAUUCACAUCAUAAUUUCAAGUAUAGGCCUCCAUUGUAUUAUGAUUCUUGUGAUGGCUUUGUAGUAAUAGCAAUUUGCACGAUGUUAAUUGACAUAAAACCCGAUAAUUUCAUUUUUGCUAUGCGUUAAUCUUGGGG